GCCUCGGUAGCUCAGUCGGCAGAGCGCGUGCCUUUUAAGCCCGUGGCCGCGGGUUCGAGCCCCGCCGGAGGUG
rnacentral:tRNA from 1 species